rnacentral:rRNA from 1 species
GCAUAUCAAUAAGGGAGGAAAAGAAACCAACAGGGAUUGCCCUAGUAACGGCGAGUGAAGCGGCAACAGCUCAAAUUUSAAAUCUGGCUUCGGCCCGAGUUGUAAUUUGCAGAGGAUGUUUCUGGCGCGGUGCCUUCCGAGUUCCCUGGAACGGGACGCCACAGAGGGUGAGAGCCCCGUAUGGUCGGACACCAAGCCUGUGUGAAACUCCUUCAACGAGUCGAGUAGUUUGGGAAUGCUGCUCUAAAUGGGAGGUAAAUCUCUUCUAAAGCUAAAUACCGGCCAGAGACCGAUAGCGCACAAGUAGAGUGAUCGAAAGAUGAAAAGCACCUUGAAAAGGGGGUUAAAUAGUACGUGAAAUUGUUGAAAGGGAAGCACUUAUGACCAGACUUGGGCCGGGCGGCUCAUCAGGGGUUCUCCCCUGUGCACUCCGCCCGGCACAGGCCAGCAUCGGUUUUCGCGGGGGGAUAAGACCGACGGGAACGUAGCACCCUCCGGGGUGUGUUAUAGCCCGGCGGACGAUACCCUCGCGGGGACCGAGGUCCGCGCUCCGCAAGGAUGCUGGCGUAAUGGUCAUCAGUGACCCGUCUUGAAACACGGACCAAGGAGUCGUCCAUUAGAGCGAGCGUUUGGGUGUAAAACCCGCACGCGUAAUGAAAGUGAACGCAGGUGAGAGCUUCGGCGCAUCAUCGACCGAUCCUGAUGUUCUCGGAAGGAUUUGAGUAAGAGUUUUAACGGACGGACCCGAAAGACAGUGAACUAUGCUUGUAUAGGGUGAAGCCAGAGGAAACUCUGGUGGAGGCUCGCAGCGGUUCUGACGUGCAAAUCGAUCGUCAAAUAUGAGCAUGGGGGCGAAAGACUAAUCGAACUGUCUAGUAGCUGGUUACCGCCGAAG